rnacentral:lncRNA from 1 species
ACUUUGAGAGAUACCUCCAUCAUCCAUCUAUACUCUUCUAAAACAUCUUUCUUUGACGAAUAAAUCGAUUAAAACUGAUGACUGAAUACCAAUAUAAUACCUCUUAACUCUCAAUCCAAGCACUGUAGUUUUAUAUAUGGAGCAAAUGAAGAGAUAAAGGUUAUAGUUGUUCCAUCUAGUUUAUGAUGGAUUAUUAUAAGUAGCGAAAGUAAUUUUAC